ensembl:lncRNA
AUUAGGAUUUAAAAGGUCCACAAAAGGGCAACAAGGAUGUUUCAUUUCCUUCAGAAAUGUUUUCUGCAUGAGCAGCAGCUUCAUAGGCUGGAGAUCCUCAGCCUUGAAAAGAAACUUUAGGAUGGUUUGGUGGAGCUCAGUACAAGCUAUGGGUGACAUGAAGACUGUCAGUGCAUUUCAUUUGCCAAAAAUGAGAACUGAGGCCAUCAUGUUCAGAUAUAAGGGCCUGGCUCAGAACUAACUAAAGAGGAUGUUUCUCCAUAUGAUGAAUCAUGGACCUGUGGGAGAGCUUGCUGGAGGACGCUGUGUAUAAAAUUUGCACAAUAUCAACAGGCAACUGAACAAAUACUUGCAAGAAUUGCCCUCUGGAGGUGACUAAGUAGGAAAAUCUCAUCAAGAUAAGGAAUCCUUGAGCUGAAAAUAGUAGCAGUCUGAAUAUGCAAAGGAGUACAUAUGCUUGGAUAUAUCUUGCCUUGGAUUUUUACCUGUGGAUACUGAUGGACACAAGAUACUCAGCAAGAUGGAGUGUUGGCCUAAGUCAGAACAGCUGGUAUUGCAUUUAUCUAACUAUGGACUUAUACGGAAUGUCAAUGUACUCAGUGGCCAGGAGGAUGUUUUGGCUGGAAAAGGAAGCUGCAAUGGAUAACUUGAGCAAGCUCAAUCUCAUCUCUUGAGAUCCCCAGGAGGAGUGAAGACUACAAACACUUUCUUUAAUCUCUGAACACAUAAAUGAACAUAAAACUGUGCAUAAUGCUUAGGAAGUGGAACAGCAAGAAAGAAACUUUACUCUGACAGAUUUUAUUUUUAUAAGGGUUUCAUUUGGUGCUUUUAACACAGGUAAAUGUACCUUGACAAUAUGCCAGAAAAAGAAAUAAAAUAAUUUCAACUGCCA